rnacentral:tRNA from 1 species
GCCUGGGUGGCUCAGUUGGUUAAGCGUCUGACUUAGGCUCAGGUCAUGAUCUCCCGGCUCAUGAGUUCGAGUCUCAUGUCAGGCU